UCCUAGCAGUAAACGAUGCGGGCUAGGUGUUGGGGCGGCUACGAGCCGCUUCAGUGCCGCAUGGAAACAGUUAAGCCCGCCGCCUGGGAAGUACGGCCGCAAGGCUGAAACUUAAAGGAAUUGGCGGGGGAGCACCACAAGGGGUGAAGCUUGCGGUUUAAUUGGAGUCAACACCGGAAAGGGAACUGCAAUUCACGCUGUUUCCCUGGAGACCUUACCGGGGGCGACAGCAGGGUGAAGGCCAGAUUGAAGGUCUUGCUGGACGAGCUGAGAGGAGGUGCAUGGCCGUCGCCAGUU
rnacentral:rRNA from 1 species